rnacentral:rRNA from 1 species
GGAACUCCAUGUGUAGCGGUGAAAUGCGUAGAUAUAUGGAAGAACACCAGUGGCGAAGGCGGCUUGCUGGACUGUAACUGACGUUGAGGCUCGAAAGUAUGGGUAGCAAACAGGAUUAGAUACCCUGGUAGUCCAUACCGUAAACGAUGAAUGCUAGGUGUUAGAAGGUUUCCGCCUCUUAGUGCCGAAGCUAACGCAUUAAGCAUUCCGCCUGAGGAGUACGACCGCAAGGUUGAAACUCAAAGGAAUUGACGGGGACCCGCACAAGCGGUGGAGCAUGUGGUUUAAUUCGA